UUACAAUGAAGAGUUUGAUCCUGGCUCAGGAUGAACGCUAGCUACAGGCUUAACACAUGCAAGUCGAGGGGCAGCGGGGGAAGAGCUUGCUCUUUCUGCCGGCGACCGGCGCACGGGUGCGUAACGCGUAUCAAACCUGCCGCAUACUCGGGGAUAGCCUUGCGAAAGUAAGAUUAAUACCCGAUGUUAUUAAGUUCUCGCAUGAGAAUUUGAUCAAAGAUUUAUCGGUAUGCGAUGGUGAUGCGUCUGAUUAGGUAGUAGGCGGGGUAACGGCCCACCUAGCCAUCGAUCAGUAGG
rnacentral:rRNA from 1 species